rnacentral:rRNA from 1 species
AACGAAUGGAGCUAGCCUUGUUCGGAUUUACUGGGCGUAAAGCGCGUGUAGGCGGAUUUGUAAGUUGGGGGUGAGAUCCCGAGGCUCAACCUCGGAACUGCCUCCAAAACUACAAAUCUGGACUCAAGUAGAGGCAAGUGGAAUUGCGAGUGUAGAGGUGAAAUUCGUAGAUAUUCGCAGGAACACCAGUGGCGAAGGCGACUUGCUGGACUUGUAGUGACGCUGAGACGCGAAAGCGUGGGGAGCAAACAGG